GACGGAGGGGGCUAGCGUUGCUCGGAAUUACUGGGCGUAAAGCGCGCGUAGGCGGUGAGGUAAGUUGGGCGUGAAAGCCCAGGGCUCAACCCUGGAAUUGCGCUCAAAACUACCACACUAGAGUUCGGGAGAGGAGAGUGGAAUUCCCAGUGUAGAGGUGAAAUUCGUAGAUAUUGGGAAGAACACCAGUGGCGAAGGCGGCUCUCUGGCCCGAUACUGACGCUGAGGUGCGAAAGCGUGGGGAGCAAAC
rnacentral:rRNA from 1 species